rnacentral:rRNA from 1 species
UGGGGAAUAUUGCACAAUGGGCGCAAGCCUGAUGCAGCCAUGCCGCGUGUGUGAAGAAGGCCUUCGGGUUGUAAAGCACUUUCAGCGAGGAGGAAGGUGGUGAGCUUAAUACGCUCAUCAAUUGACGUUACUCGCAGAAGAAGCACCGGCUAACUCCGUGCCAGCAGCCGCGGUAAUACGGAGGGUGCAAGCGUUAAUCGGAAUUACUGGGCGUAAAGCGCACGCAGGCGGUUUGUUAAGUCAGAUGUGAAAUCCCCGGGCUCAACCUGGGAACUGCAUUUGAAACUGGCAAGCUAGAGUCUCGUAGAGGGGGGUAGAAUUCCAGGUGUAGCGGUGAAAUGCGUAGAGAUCUGGAGGAAUACCGGUGGCGAAGGCGGCCCCCCUGGACGAAGACUGACGCUCAGGUGCGAAAGCGUGGGGCAGCAAACAGGAUUAGAUACCCUGGUAGGUCCACGCUGUAAAACGAUGUCGAUUUUGGAGGUUGUGCCCCUUGAGGCGUGGGCUUCCGGAGCUAACGCGUUAAAUCGA